GUCGAGAAUAAUUCACAAUGGACGAAAGUCUGUUGGUGCAACGCCGCGUGGAGGAUGACGGUCUUCGGAUUGUAAACUCCUGUCAUCCGGGAGUAAGACCUGGCUGUGAAUAGCAGACAGGGUUGAUAGUACCGGAAGAGGAAGGGACGGCUAACUUCGUGCCAGCAGCCGCGGUAAUACGAAGGUCCCGAGCGUUGUUCGGAAUCACUGGGCGUAAAGGGAGCGUAGGCGGCGUGGUAAGUCAGAUGUGAAAUCCCGGGGCUCAACCCCGGAACUGCAUCCGAUACUGCCGUGCUAGAGGAUUGGAGAGGUAGCUGGAAUUCUUGGUGUAGCAGUGAAAUGCGUGGAGAUCAAGAGGAACACUCGUGGCGAAAGCGAGCUACUGGACAAUAUCUGACGCUGAGGCUCGAAGGCCAGGGUAGCGAAAGGGAUUAGAAACCCGGGUAGUCC
rnacentral:rRNA from 1 species